rnacentral:rRNA from 1 species
UACAGAGGUCCCAAGCGUUGUUCGGAUUCACUGGGCGUAAAGGGUGCGUAGGUGGUUGCGCAAGUCGGUCGUGAAAUCCCUCGGCUCAACCGAGGAACGUCGAUCGAUACUGCUGUUCUUGAGGAUUGCAGAGGAGACUGGAAUUCCCGGUGUAGCGGUGAAAUGUGUAGAGAUCGGGAGGAACACCGGUGGCGAAGGCGGGUCUCUGGGCAAUUCCUGACGCUGAGGCGCGAAAGCGUGGGGAGCAAACGGG